ACUUAAAAAAAGAAAGGACUUUGAGGUAGUGGAAAAGUUACAUUUGUUCAUGCUUCUUUAUAUAUCAUAAUUCCUGUCAGAAUAUUGUUACUAUACUUCAAAUAUAAUGUUGAAUGUCACGGUUGAUUCUUAAAAACUCCAGUAACUAAAAGCUAAAGUGUAAUGAAUAUUAUAUAGUUUUCAGCACAUGAAACAUCAUGACAACCCUAAGUGUUUGGAUAUGGAAAUUCACAUUGGUCUACUUUUUACUUUGAAGUUUUAGCAAGUCGGAAUUUAAGAUUUCCCUUGUAGCAUUGUCCCAUAUCCAGUAAUAAUGGUUUCCUUGUCUGUUUCUAAAUAGGGGAAGCUCACAUCAGAGAUAACUUUAUCCUUCACCAAGGGAAUAACUGAUUUUAGCAUUUAGCAUGUAUCAGUUUUAAAAGUUUAUGUGUUAGCUCUUAUCACCUACUGUAUAGGUGUUACCAUAUAUUUAUUUAGUUAAGCUAUCUUAAUGUGAACAUGGCUUUAAUCUUUUAUUUGUUUUACUCAUUUUUGAGAGAGCUGAAAAUGACUUUGAAAUUCUGAUACCCCUGCCUCUACUUCUCAAGCACUGCUGCUGUUGGACCCAGAGCACUGUGCAAGUUACUUAAGGACUGUACCACGCACCUUGUGCUCAAAGGAAAGCUGUGUGAUCUGUUGGCAGUAUUGUGUUGCAUUGCAAUUUUCUUGUUAUUUUUCUUUUGAGUUCUACUGUUUGAAAAAAGAUAAGAAAAAUCAUAACUUUCUCAAUGGAAACUCUUCAUGA
rnacentral:lncRNA from 1 species